AGAGUGAGCGCUGGCGGCAGGCCUAACACAUGCAAGUCGAACGGCAGCACAGGGGAGCUUGCUCCCUGGGUGGCGAGUGGCGGACGGGUGAGGAAAACGUCGGAAUCUGCCUAUUUGUGGGGGAUAACGUAGGGAAACUUACGCUAAUACCGCAUACGGCCUACGGGUGAAAGCGGAGGACCUUCGGGCUUCGCGCAGAUAGAUGAGCCGACGUCGGAUUAGCUUGUUGCGGGGUAAAGGCCCACCAAGGCGACGAUCCGUAGCUGGUCUGAGAGGAUGAUCAGCCACACUGGAACUGAGACACGGUCCAGACUCCUACGGGAGCAGCAGUGGGGAAUAGUUAGGACAAGUGGGCGCAAGCCUGACUCCAGCCAUCGCCGCGUGGUGUGAAGAAGGUCCGUUCGGUUGUAAGGCGUACUUUCGGUACCGGAAAGAAAGCGUAACCGGUUAAGUACCCGUGGUGUACGUAUGACGGUACGAAG
rnacentral:rRNA from 1 species